rnacentral:lncRNA from 1 species
ACUCUCUUUCUCUCUCUCUCUCUACGCAGUACGCACACACUCUUUCUCUCUCCUCCUCGAUGGAGAGGAAGGAAGGAGCUUUUGAUCCGGUAAAUUAAUGCGGGAGCAAUGGGAGUAGGUGAAAGGUGAUGAAGGCCAUGUUUAGUUACUCCCAACUCCCAACUUUGACACUAUGCAAAAAGAAGAUUCCCCAUCACAUCAAACUUGCGGUACAUGCAUGGAGUACUAAAUGUAGAUGAAAUUAAAAACUAAUUGCACAGUUUUGUUGUACUUUGCGAGACGAAUCUUUUGAGCCUAAUUAGUCAAUAUUUGGACAAUAAUUCACAAAUACAAACGAAACGCUACAGUGUGCUACAGUGCUGUAACAGUAAUUUGGCACCUCCCAAAUUCCCCAACUAAACACGGCCGAAGUCCGAAGUGUGCCUGCAGAGGCCAGCAGGAAGAAAAAGCUGGACUGAUUGAUGCUCUGCUAAUGGUGUGGACUAUGGACAAAGGUUUAUACCAGUACAGUCAACCAU